rnacentral:rRNA from 1 species
UACGUAGGGUGCGAGCGUUGUCCGGAAUUAUUGGGCGUAAAGAGCUCGUAGGCGGUGUGUCACGUCGGCCGUGAAAACCUGGGGCUUAACUCUGGGCGUGCGGUCGAUACGGGCAUCACUAGAGUUCGGCAGGGGAGACUGGAAUUCCUGGUGUAGCGGUGAAAUGCGUAGAUAUCAAGAGGAACACCUGCGGCGAAGGCGGGUUGCUGGGCCGACACGUGACGCUGGAGGCGCGAAAGCGUGGGGAGCAAACAGG